GAUGAACGCUGGCGGCGUGCCUAAUACAUGCAAGUCGAGCGAACAGACGAGGAGCUUGCUCCUCUGACGUUAGCGGCGGACGGGUGAGUAACACGUGGAUAACCUACCUAUAAGACUGGGAUAACUUCGGGAAACCGGAGCUAAUACCGGAUAAUAUAUUGAACCGCAUGGUUCAAUAGUGAAAGACGGUUUUGCUGUCACUUAUAGAUGGAUCCGCGCCGCAUUAGCUAGUUGGUAAGGUAACGGCUUACCAGGGCAACGAUGCGUAGCCGACCUGAGAGGGUGAUCGGCCACACUGGAACUGAGACACGGUCCAGACUCCUACGGGAGGCAGCAGUAGGGAAUCUUCCGCAAUGGGCGAAAGCUUGACGGAGCAACGCCGCGUGUGUGAUGAAGGUCUUCGGAUCGUAAAACUCUGUUAUUAGGGAAGAACAAAUGUGUAAGUAACUAUGCACGUCUUGACGGUACCUAAUCAGAAAGCCACGGCUAACUACGUG
rnacentral:rRNA from 1 species